UACAGAGGUCCCAAGCGUUGUUCGGAUUCACUGGGCGUAAAGGGUGCGUAGGUGGUCGGGUAAGUCUGAUGUGAAAUCUCCGAGCUUAACUCGGAAACUGCAUCGGAUACUAUUCGGCUCGAGGGUUGGAGGGGGGACUGGAAUGCUUGGUGUAGCAGUGAAAUGCGUAGAUAUCAAGCGGAACACCAGUGGCGAAGGCGAGUCUCUGGACAUUUCCUGACGCUCAGGCACGAAAGCCAGGGGAGCAAACGGG
rnacentral:rRNA from 1 species